rnacentral:lncRNA from 1 species
GCAACACGGCCUCCAGGUCUUUGGGGAAAACAAGUUCAGUGAAGUAGUCUGGGUUGAAGAAGCAUCUUGCAGUCUACUGAGUAUGCAGAGCUGAGGAAUAGAUGGACUCCAAGAAUCUAAACCACUUUUCAAUAAAUCCAUGGCUCCUCUACCCGCCCUGUUCCUGGUGGCUCUGGUGUGCUGACUUGUAGCCCAGGCUCUGGACUGCCACGUAUGCACCUACAGUGCAGAGAACUGCUUCAAGCCCAUGUGCUGCCUGGCCGUGGUCACCUACGGCACAACUACAGACUUACUACACCCCAAUCAGGAUGAAGGUCUGCUGUCUCAGUUAGUAGAAGUCUGCUUCCAACUUCUCCCCUUGUGUUUUCAACAACUUCCUGUCUUCAGGUAAGAGCAUCCACUUUUACUUAGGGAACUUACCCUAGUGCAUUGAAGAUUGUUGGCCAAGACUGUCAAUAGAGAGGUUGCUGCCCUUCUAGUGUUGGUCAUGUGACCCAGGCUAAGCCAAUCAGAUUAUUUCUCCCUGGACUACAGCUGGAGGUGGUUCUUGCAGAGAAAGAAAAAUAGUGAAGUUUCUUUGAGGGGUUUUCUGUUACUUCUUGUUGCCUAGAUCUUUG